rnacentral:lncRNA from 1 species
UUUGAGAUAAACAAAUUAUUCAUAGAACCUGAUAAUGGAAGAUUUCAUUUUGCUUUUCUUCAGGAAAAAAAAAACAACAACCCAGAAUCUCAAAAUUUUUGUAUACUCUCUAAACCUGAAUCCAUAGACAAACAACUGUACCUCUUUGUUUCUCAGAUUCCAUUGGUCCCAGAGCUUCAAACUCUAAGAGGCUCCUAUCUAAGUUUAGACAAUUUCUUUACAGUGGACACACAUACGAAGACUUCUAAACUUUACUACUCAAAGGCUUAUCCAUGGGCCAGUAGCAAUCUCAUUACAGGGGAGUUUUUAGAAAUGCAGAAUCUCAGGACCUGCAUCAAACCUCCUUAAUCUGAAUCUGCAUUUUGACAAAAUUUCCAGGUAAUUCGUAUGCAUAUAAAAGUUUGAGAAGCACUAGGUUAAGACAUAAUGAAGAACAUAUUUUUGAUCCCUUCAUCAGUUACUUUCUGUGAUCCUUGGCCACAGGCCCCAUCAUAAAAACAGGUGAAAAUAUUAAUGGCAUAAUAUGUUUAGCCCAUUCCCAAAAAAACAUAUAUGCACGUGUGGGUAUUUAGAUAUGCACUAUAAUUUAAAAAUCCUGGAUUUGCUACUAACCCUAUUUUGAGAAACUCAAAGAGUAUGUCUUAUGAACCCUGAGAAAGUGGCUCUAUUAUUCAGUAGGCUAUUAAUUUCACACUAGAUCUCUAUAUUAAAUCACACCUGCUGAGUUAAUGAUAAUAUCAUGUGUGAUACACUGUCUAUCUUGAGAGAUGACAGGUACAAAAUGCUCUGGGUGUACUGUAUAUUCGUAGAGCACACAAGAAUGAUAAAUUGAUAGCUAUUCUCCCCCGUGAAUCUCUUCCAAAGCUGGAUUCUCCUCUCUCAACAGCAACUCCCUCCUGUUUGAGUUCUUGUAAAAAUUAGCUUCCCUACAGAUCAGUGUGACCAUCCUGGAUGAAGAGAGAAUUCAAGGGCCACAAAAUCAAAAGCCUGAGAAGUUCAUCUACAAAAGAGCUCUGGACACAUGUGCUUUUCUACAUCCUGAGCUAUGCCUGCCCUCCUGGGACUCAUGGAUACCGUUUACAGACCACAGAGAUC